UAGUUGUUGCAGUUAAAAGCUCGUAGUUGGAUUUGUGGUUGGAAAGGUCCGCCGUUGCUAUGCUUCGUGUUGGAUUUUUCCGUCCAUCCUUGGGUGGAUCCUGUGCGGCAUUCAGUUGUCGUGCAGGGGAUGCCCAUCGUUUACUGUGAAAAAAUUAGAGUGUUUAAAGCAGGCUUAUGCCGUUGAAUAUAUUAGCAUGGAAUAAUAAGAUAGGACUUUGGAACUAUUUUGUUGGUUUGCGUUACAAAGUAAUGAUUAAUAGGGACAGUUGGGGGUAUUCGUAUUUCAUUGUCAGAGGUGAAAUUCUUGGAUUUCUGAAAGACGAACUACUGCGAAAGCAUUUACCAAGGAUGUUUUCAUUAAUCAAGAACGAAAGUUAGGGGAUCGAAGAUGAUUAGAUACCAUCGUAGUCUUAACCAUAAACUAUGCCGACUNGGGAUUGGAGGUCGUUCUUUUUAUGACUCCUUCA
rnacentral:rRNA from 1 species